rnacentral:rRNA from 1 species
UACGUAGGUGGCAAGCGUUGUCCGGAUUUACUGGGCGUAAAGAGCGCGCAGGCGGUCGAUUUAGUCGCGUGUGAAAGCCCCCGGCUCAACUGGGGAGGGUCACGCGUACUGAUCGACUCGAAGGCAGGAGAGGGUAGUGGAAUUCCCGGUGUAGUGGUGAAAUGCGUAGAUAUCGGGAGGAACACCAGUGGCGAAGGCGACUACCUGGCCUGUUCUUGACGCUGAGGCGCGAAAGCUAGGGGAGCAACAGG